UGUUCUAGUAAACAAUGAUUUAAGGAAAUUUAUUUUCAAAUUGCCCCAUUUCAUUACUUAGUGAAUUUUAUCUUAUCAGCUACCUGUGUAUUUAAUGCCAAAUGUUUAUUUUACAUUAAAAGCAUUUGAUUUGUUAUAAUAAUUAUUGCGUUUGAAGCCUUUGCAUUAUGAGUACCAAGCUGGAUAAGAUUGUUAAGACUUAUAGGUCUUUGGCCCAAGUGCCGGCCCUAGUAGGGGCUCAAAUUCACUCGCCGAACGUUAUUAAUACAGUUUGGUCACAAAGGAACAUAGAAAAAGGGUCUACGACUAAAUUUAGCCGGACCCUUUUGCUUAAUGACUUUGAGGUGCACGAUGAGACUUUGCCGGUGGAUGUGAGCAGCGAAAUACUAACUAAAACAUCAAAAUCUCAAAAGUUCAAAGCUGUACUGAGGGACCACGACUCGAAACAGUUCCUGGAAGUGUGGAAAAGCAGCAAUUUAAUAAGGGUUGUGGACUUGGCUGCCCUGGAUGUCCAUGGCAGUGUUUAUGCUGACAUUGAAUUUAGUUCCUUUGAAUUUUCUCCUGACGAGAGGAAACUGUUAUAUGUAGCAGAGAAAAAGGUGCCAAAAAGUGAACCUUUUUAUAAGAGAAAGAAGCCUGAGGAAGCAAAAGAUGGUGGGGAUGCACCUAAGCCAGCCCCAAAGGGGGAAGAAUACUGGUUUGAACAAGACUGGGGUGAACAACUCGUAGGAAAAAAGAAAUCAAUUUUAGCCGAAUACAACAUUGAAAAUGAUACAGUUGAACUCCUGAAAGGUUUACCCGAUAACGUUUGCGUAGCCAAACCGAAAUAUUCCUCUGACGGUAAUUUUAUCAUUGGCAUAUCCUAUUUUACUGAGCCCAGGAAGCUUGGACUAAUUUAUUGCACCAACAGGCCCAGCACGGUGUUUCAGUUGGACUUUGAGGGCAAUUAUGUGGAACUUUCUUUGAAAGACACCGCAGUUAAAUCCCCCGUAUUUACACCAAACGGGAAGGAAAUCGUGUGGCUGCAAAGGCCCAGUUUCGGACCCCAUAUGGCUUGCAUGGAAUUGGUUAAGGCUGAUUUUCCUUUGAAGGCUGAGACCGUCCCGAAAACUGUAGUGGAAAUUGUAAAAAGAAGCAAAAAAACGACAAACGACAAGGAUUUCUACGGCAUUUACAAUACCGGGUUCCCAAAGCGUCCUUGGGUGGGCCAGAACCAGCUGCUAAUAAAUACCAACCAAAAAUACACCAUAAACUCUUACCUCGUAAACAUCGAUAACGGGGAAAUAACUGAGUUGGAGUUCGCUGAGGGUAGCCAGCUGAUCAUAGAUACAAAGGACGAUCUAGUUCUAGCCCUGAGGCGUAACUUCUUAGUGCCAGACAAGCUGGUUAUAGGAAAACUCUCGGAAAAUCCGAUAAAUUGGACAGAAAUCACUUGUGCCCUAGAAGUACCAGAAGUAAACGGAGCCACUUAUCGGUAUUUGGACUUGGUGGCACCUGAGGGAGAUUUCCGUGAAUUUAACGCCCUGUACGUUGGCCCGGCCUCCGGUAAAGACCAGUCGGUUCCGUUGAUAGUGUGGCCCCACGGAGGGCCCCAUAGCGCCUUCGCCAAUUAUUUCUUUUUGGAGGCCGCCCUGUUUUUGUCUUUAGGUUACGGUAUCUGUCUUAUCAACUACAGGGGUUCAAUAGGACAAGGCAACGAUUCCAUCGAUUUCUUACCGGGUAAAGUCGGUACAUCUGACGUGGAGGACUGUAUCACGGCCACAGAAGCUGUACUAAAGCAAUUCCCGUGGAUCAGUCCGGAUAUGUUGUUCUUGUGCGGCGGGUCUCACGGCGGGUUUUUGGUCACGCAUUUGAGCGGCCAAUAUCCGGAUAAGUUUAAGUGCGUGGUGGCGCGGAAUCCGGUCGUAGAUGUCGCUUCGAUGAGUGCCAUCUCCGAUAUACCUGACUGGUGUUAUAUCGAAGGUAACAAUAAACCUUACACGCAAAAAGGCCCGAUAGAUGGCGAGUUGUUAUUAAAAAUGCGCGAGUGUUCGCCGAUAGUGCAUGCUCACAAGGUGAAGGCGCCUACGUUGUUGCAAGUGGGGUCCAAGGACUUACGUGUACCUCCUCACCAGAGUAAGGAGUAUUAUUGCAGGUUGAAAGCGAACGGAGUGAAAGUCAGGCCUAUCAGUCUUACAAGUAAUUGUAGAUGUGACAAAUGUAUAAAGAUUAGACUAGCGAAUUUUUUUAAAAUAAAUAAUAUGGAUUUCUUGAGGGUUGCAGUAAAUCAACUGUGCCAUGCAUCAACUGAUAACUGAAGUGAUACAAGAAAUGUUCUCAUAUCAGAUUGUUGCCUAAGAAAUGUCCAUUCUUUAUCUAAAGCCCUUUUAAGAAUAUUCCAAUAGUUCGUAAAGAUAUGAAGAAGAGUGACAAUUUGCUUAAAAACAUAGCAAAAAAAAAUGCCUCAACAAAAACUCCCUUAACUACUUCAAUUCUUAACCUAGAUUCCGGUUUUUACUCACAAGUCCAUCCUCAGGUAUCUUUUUAUAUUGAAUGUUACUAUACGACGACAACCACCCGAUUGCAAGCGUGCCAAACGAAAUAGACGAUAUUAUUAACGCGGUACUUUGGAUGGAAGACUGCUGGGGACGCGAUUCUUGCUAAAGAAAAAAAACCUGAUUUUAUAACACCCUCCUUUUUAUAUUUGCUACUACAAGUAAAGUUAGUUUUUAAAAGCA